rnacentral:lncRNA from 1 species
AGUUAUUUUGCAGGAGGCAUCUCAGGGAUGAAGGCAAGCCGGCCCCUAGCUGAUCAGCUGGUUGCUGAGGACUCUUCACGAAGUCAGGGACCAUUGUGAAGAUGGAAGAACGCCCACAAAACCCAGCUUGAGGCCUGCCGGCCCUGAGCGUCCUGCUGGCUCAGCGGUGGUGCAUUUCUCCUGUCCUAACCAGAAAGUGACCCUUCUAUUUGUGGAGAGCUAUGGCCUAACGGCCUGGACCAGCAGAUAACACAGCGCUCAUGAUGAGCUGUCAAGCUAUAACUAAGAGCGUCGGUUUAGGCAGUUCCUGAAACCGGCAGCGCCAUUUUGUAGGAACAGAGAAGCCGACCUCAAGCUGACCUCAAGGAAUCACUCACCCCGAGAAGACUUUGUUCUGAGCUGAUGUCUUCCCAGCCUGGUGCAGCCCCAGCUAUCCAAAAGAGGAGCUGUUAGGAUGAUUGGAACUUUGGUUUUUCCGAUUCACUCUCUUUCUUCUCUCCUGCCUUCUGCCUUAGACAGCAGGAGAAAAGGAAACUCAGCCUCAGAGGUGGGGUCCUUCGGAAGGACUGACAGUGUGGGCUAGCUCUCCUGCGUCUGGGAGCCUGAGUGCCUUUGGCUCCCUGUCCAGAGCUGAGCUUUACCACAGAGGUUUGCCCGCUUGCAAACAACAUCAAAACUUGCCUCUUCGCCUGGGUGUAUUCUCCCUCUUUUGUGUACAGUUUGGGUCCUCCAAACUGCUCUCCCUGUGUAGAAAGGCCUAUGGAAUUCAGGGAGCCUGGCCAGCCACCCAGGCCUUUAUAAAGGCCCUUCUAUCACAGGAUGGAGGGGAGACCCAAUAAAGACUUUGCAAAACGCU